rnacentral:rRNA from 1 species
UACGUAGGGGGCGAGCGUUGUCCGAAGUUACUGGGCGUAAAGCGCGCGUAGGCGGUCAUUUAAGUUCGGGGUGAAAGGUUCAGCGCUCAACGCGAACAGUGCCUUGAAUACUGGGUGACUUGAGUUCGGGAGAGGGCAGUGGAAUUCCUGGUGUAGCGGUGAAAUGCGUAGAUACCAGGAGGAACACCGGUGGCGAAGGCGGCUUCCUGGACCAAUACUGACGCUCAUGUGCGAAAGCGUGGGGAGCGAACAGG